ACUUGUUUUUAAAGGCAGGCGUGAUACGCACGAAAACUCUAUUUUCCCCCCUCCCUUCGAUUUUAACACGUACAGUGCUUAGAAAUCUCAAUUUCCCUUUCUUCUCCAAAUUCGUCUUCUCCAUUUUCUCUCUACCUGCAAAUUAAUCAAAACCCACCCAUUUCUAUUGCUACAUGGCUGUCCUCUUCCACCGAAAAUCACCAUUGACAGCGAAUCUACCUCCACCGAUUUGGCGCCCGCGGCUAGCAUGUUCUACAUUUCCUCUUAGCACAGUAAACACCAAUUUUCUGUGUAUUUCUCGAUUUUCUACAAUUUCCAGUUCAAAAAUCGACCUCUUUUAACAUUUUCGAAGCCGAUUAAUAGGGUUUUGAUGAUCGCGUCCUCCCCGUCCUCUCCUCCACUCAGUUGUCGCUGAUUAACAUUUUGAAUAUAUGACAUAUUUCAUGGAGGCCCUUGAACUGGAGGAUAUAGUAAAAAAUUACGAACGCCGUACUUUAACUGGAUGUUUUGUUUACUUUUACUCUUUACUCUUUUGCUUAUUGAGUCCAUCUCAAUAUAUGUUUCAGGUUGUUUAUUCAUGACCUUAGACAUUUAUAUCAAUUGUUUCAGGAAGUAUAUUUCAAGCCUUAGUGGUUCCUUAUGCAGAAUUUUGUUGGCGAUGCAUCCUCAGAAAGCAACUUAAGAAACUCUUAGCUAUCUUACUUGGUAUCAUGUCAGCUUCGAUUCUAUUAGCAGAGGCAACUUUACUGACAAGUGAUGUUGAUCUAUCUCUUUUCUCAAUCCUUAUAAAUUCUGUUCGAAAGCAAGAAAUACUUGUGCAGGUAUAAUGUACUAAAAGAUUCAAGUUUUUGAAAUUAUCUAGACGUAUUGCAUUUGGCCUGCAUUGGAGAAUUGGUUUUUUUUUUUUUUUUCAUCUUGUAAAAGUGAAUAUCUCUAGUCCUGCUUUCAUUAUAGACUCUCAAUAUCUAGUUGCCUUUAAGACAACUAGCUAAUGUUACAUACGUGUUCAUCAGAUUUGUUUAGGUCUAUACAUAUUUAGGCUUA